UGUAUCUUUCCUUGACGAUAAUAAAACAAAGUGACAUUAAUUGAGGACUUGCCGUAUACGUAUAUAUCCAGUUAUGUAAAUUAAGAGCUGACAUUUUUGACCUGCAUAUAAAUCCUGAUAUACAAUCAUUGCUUAUAAAUCCCUUUAUAAGCAAUGCUUUAUAUCAGGGAUGCAUUUUAUGUAAUUUUAUAGCUAAAAAUUUCCCGUAUGAAUGAAGGUUCUAAAAUUCAUGAAUUGUCAAGACAAAAUAGAUACAUAUCUUCAAACAUUUAAGUCAUAUUUAGUGUAUUGUUUUGAAUUGUUUGUUAUAAAAAAUGCAAUAAAUUUAAUUGAUAACUGUUGAUCCACAUCAAUCAAUAUUUUAAAAGAAUUUUAUGACCAAACUGUCAUUCAAUUAUUGUUUAUAAGAUUAUUGCUUCUAUUAUUCAGUCAUUCAUGAUUAUGAAUGGUGAAACAAUUUAUAAUUAUUUAUGAUGAAUAUUUUUCAGACUUGAAGUAUGCAGUCGUAUUAUGGCAAUUUUUCAUAGAGGAAGUAGUUCAAGAAGGAUUAACCAAUCCUACUCCAGCUUGUUGUAAUCCAAAAAAAAAGAGAGUUUUAUUGAAGAGGCCAGAAUUUUUGCUAUAAUUCGUAAGAAAAUAAUUAAAAGCAAAGAGACUUAAACUGCUUCAAAAAUGAAUUAUGUUGUGGGAGAAUAAGGCAUUUAAAUGAUGAAAGUAUUUUAUCUUCUCAAGAAUAUUAUUAUUUACAGUAUAUUACAGGCCAGAAGGAAAGAUGACAGCAUGCAAAAGAAUGGAUGUGUGGUCAAACGGUAUCAUUUUAAAUCUGUGACUAUCAAACCUAAGCCAAAAGCAUUUUGUUUUGUAACUCUGACUGGAAUUUAUCAAGAUCGGUUUGGGUUCUAUCACUAGUUAUACUUUGAGUGGAAUUGCGUUAUCGUCCGAAGGAUCGAGCCAAAAAAUUGUUAGACAAAUGAAGAGAGUAAUUUUAAGAAUCUGCCUUUGAACUAUAAGAAAAGAAACUUAUGGAAUGAUCAAACUACAUUAUUUUCUCCGUCUAUUUGGUAGAAACUAUACAGAUCCAGAAUUGAAUCUCAAAAAGUGACAACAAGCAGCUGGUUUGAGACAAUACAGUGUCGUCAUUGCAUACGACAGUAUAAUCUUUCCUGUGCCAUAAAUAUUACUGCUUCAUUCUUCAAUUAAAAGAUUCGUUCCAUUAAAUAAAGAAAGAACUCACCUGAUCGACCAACAGUUGUCCAAGCGCCGAGGCACCCAUGGCCAUCCUCGCCACUCCCCAAAACGUGUCGGGUCGGAAGACGUCGAUGGUGUUUACGGGCACAACCGGUAACUUUCCCGUUCCCAGGGAAACCACCACUUCUAUUCUGUAUUUAUCACCCUGAAAUUUAUAUUAAUUUUGUAAUUUGAGACAGUUAUAAGAACAUUUUUAGCAUCUGUUAUGGUAGUUUUAAUUCUAUAGUUUUUUCUUCUAAAAAUUGAUAGUAAACUUUAAAUGUAUGUCAUUGUAAAGAUACGGUAACAUGAAAAAUGUAAGCCUAAAAUUUUUUAAUAAUAAACAUAUAGAAAUUCAAAAA
rnacentral:lncRNA from 1 species